UGAUCACAAAGAGUUCAGACAAGAUGUGGAUGGCUGUUGGAGUCCAAGCGGUGUCAUGCCUGGAAUCGGAAAGUGGGUGCGUGUGUGGCUUGCUCUCCCAAACUGAGCACAUCACGUGGACGAUGGCUGAGUAUUUGGGAUGGCGAUUCCUGGAUUGCAAGAAUUUGUACGAACCGAAUCUUUGUGUUCAAGUGUUGCCUAGCACCUGACAAAUACAGCAGGUGUUUACCGCAGGCUUAUGCAGCGAAUGAAUAAAUGAAUGAACAAA